GAUGAACGCUGGCGGCGUGCCUAAUACAUGCAAGUCGAGCGAACAGACGAGGAGCUUGCUCCUCUGACGUUAGCGGCGGACGGGUGAGUAACACGUGGAUAACCUACCUAUAAGACUGGGAUAACUUCGGGAAACCGGAGCUAAUACCGGAUAAUAUCUUGAACCGCAUGGUUCAAUAGUGAAAGACGGUUUUGCUGUCACUUAUCGAUGGAUCCGCGCCGCAUUAGCUAGUUGGUAAGGUAACGGCUUACCAAGGCAACGAUGCGUAGCCGACCUGAGAGGGUGAUCGGCGACACUGGAACUGAGACACGGUCCAGACUCCUACGGGAGGCAGCAGUAGGGAAUCUUCCGCAAUGGGCGAAAGCCUGACGGAGCAACGCCGCGUGAGUGAUGAAGGUCUUCGGAUCGUAAAACUCUGUUAUUAGGGAAGAACAAAUGUGUAAGUAGCUAUGCACGUCUUGACGGUACCUAAUCAGAAAGCCACGGCUAACUACGUG
rnacentral:rRNA from 1 species